rnacentral:rRNA from 1 species
CGGAACGGGUGAGUAACGCGUGAGGAACCUGCCUCAAAGAGGGGGACAACAGUUGGAAACGACUGCUAAUACCGCAUAAGCCCACGGUGCCGCAUGGUACAGAGGGAAAAGGAGCAAUCCGCUUUGAGAUGGCCUCGCGUCCGAUUAGCUAGUUGGUGAGGUAAUGGCCCACCAAGGCAACGAUCGGUAGCCGGACUGAGAGGUUGAACGGCCACAUUGGGACUGAGACACGGCCCAG